UACAGAGGUCUCAAGCGUUGUUCGGAUUCAUUGGGCGUAAAGGGUGCGUAGGCGGCGCGGUAAGUCGGGUGUGAAAUCCUGCGGCUCAACCGCAGGCGGUCGCGGGAAACUGCCUCGCUAGAGUCCGGAAGAGGAGAGUGGAAUUCCUGGUGUAGCGGUGGAAUGCGCAGAUAUCAGGAAGAACACCCGAGGCGAAGGCGGCUCUCUGGGUCGUACCUGACGCUGAGGCGCGAAAGCGUGGGGAGCGAACGGG
rnacentral:rRNA from 1 species